GCGGGGAUAACUCAACCUGGGAGAGUGUCGGUCGUUCGAGUACAAUCGAACGGGCAAAACUGAAGUUCCCAGAAUAGAUAUCCGAAUGUUGGGGGUUCAAAUCCCCCUCCCCGCA
rnacentral:tRNA from 1 species